rnacentral:rRNA from 1 species
AGAGUUUGAUCAUGGCUCAGGAUGAACGCUAGCGGCAGGCUUAAUACAUGCAAGUUGAACGGGAUUCGAGUAGCAAUACUUGAUGAGAGUGGCGCACGGGUGCGUAACACGUAUGCAACCUACCUUUAACUGGCGAAUAGCCCCGGGAAAUCGGGAUUAAUACGCCAUAAGAUCACGAAAGGGCAUCCUUUAGUAAUUAAAGAACUUCGGUUAGAGAUGGGCAUGCGGGACAUUAGCUAGUUGGUGAGGUGACGGCUCACCAAGGCAACGAUGUCUAGGGGUCCUGAGAGGGUUAUCCCCCACACUGGUACUGAGACACGGGCCAGACUCCUACGGGAGGCAGCAGUAAGGAAUAUUGGUCAAUGGGCGCAAGCCUGAACCAGCCAUGCCGCGUGCAGGAAGACGGCCCUAUGGGUUGUAAACUGCUUUUGUCAGGGAAUAAAUGAUGGUACGUGUACUGUCUUGAAGGUACCUGAAGAAUAAGCAUCGGCUAACUCCGUGCCAGCAGCCGCGGUAAUACGGAGGAUGCAAGCGUUAUCCGGAUUCAUUGGGUUUAAAGGGUGCGCAGGCGGAUUGGUAAGUCAGGGGUGAAAUCCCACAGCUCAACUGUGGAACUGCCUUUGAUACUGUCAGUCUAGAGUAUAGUUGAAGUUGGCGGAAUGUGUCAUGUAGCGGUGAAAUGCUUAGAUAUGACACAGAACACCGAUCGCGAAGGCAGCUAGCUAAGCUAUAACUGACGCUCAUGCACGAAAGCGUGGGGAUCAAACAGGAUUAGAUACCCUGGUAGUCCACGCUGUAAACGAUGAUUACUCGAUGUUGGCGAUACACAGUCAGCGUCUGAGCGAAAGCAAUAAGUAAUCCACCUGGGGAGUACGAUCGCAAGAUUGAAACUCAAAUGAAUUGACGG